rnacentral:rRNA from 1 species
GAUGAACGCUGGCGGCGUGCCUAAUAAAUGCCAGUCGAGCGAACGGACGAGAAGCUUGCUUUUCUGAUUUUAGCGGCGGACGGGUGAGUAACACGUGGAUAACCUACCUAUAAGACUGGGAUAACUUCGGGAAAACGGAGCGAAUACCGGGUAAUAUUUUGAACCGCAUGGUUCAAAAGUGAAAGACGGUCUUGCUGUCACUUAUAGAUGGAUCCGCGCUGCAUUAGCUAGUUGGUAAGGUAACGGCUUACCAAGGCAACGAUGCAUAGCCGACCUGAGAGGGUGAUCGGCCACACUGGAACUGAGACACGGUCCAGACUCCUACGGGAGGCAGCAGUAGGGAAUCUUCCGCAAUGGGCGAAAGCCUGACGGAGCAACGCCGCGUGAGUGAUGAAGGUCUUCGGAUCGUAAAACUCUGUUAUUAGGGAAGAACAUAUGUGUAAGUAACUGUGCACAUCUUGACGGUACCUAAUCAGAAAGCCACGGCUAACUACGUG